GCACAAGCAGCGGAGCGUGUGGUUUAAUUCGUUGCUACACGAAGAACCUUACCUGGGUUUGACAUAUAAGUUGUAGGGAACUGAAAAGGGACCGACCUUCGGGGAGCUUAUACAGGUGUUGCAUGGCUGUCGUCAGCUCGUGUCGUGAGAUGUUCGGUUAAGUCCGCUAACGAGCGCAACCCUCGCCGUAUGUUACAAGUGUCAUACGGGACUGCCGGUAAAAAGCCGGAAGAAGAUGAGGAUGAUGUCAAGUCAGCAUGACCUUUAUAUCCAGGGCUACACACACGCUACAAUGGUCUGUACAAUUGGUUGCCAAGCCGCGAGGCGGAGCCAAUCCGUAAAGCAGGCCUCAGUUCAGAUUGCAGUCUGCAACUCGACUGCAUGAGGCCGGAGUUGCUAGUAACCGCAGGUCAGCAAUACUGCGGUGAAUACGUUCCCGGGUCUU
rnacentral:rRNA from 1 species